rnacentral:rRNA from 1 species
CCAAACUGUUGCCUCGGCGGGAUCUCUGCCCCGGGUGCGUCGCAGCCCCGGACCAAGGCGCCCGCCGGAGGACCAACCUAAAACUCUUAUUGUAUACCCCCUCGCGGGUUUUUUUAUAAUCUGAGCCUUCUCGGCGCCUCUCGUAGGCGUUUCGAAAAUGAAUCAAAACUUUCAACAACGGAUCUCUUGGUUCUGGCAUCGAUGAAGAACGCAGCGAAAUGCGAUAAGUAAUGUGAAUUGCAGAAUUCAGUGAAUCAUCGAAUCUUUGAACGCACAUUGCGCCCGCCAGUAUUCUGGCGGGCAUGCCUGUCCGAGCGUCAUUUCAACCCUCGAACCCCUCCGGGGGGUCGGCGUUGGGGAUCGGCCCUCCCUUAGCGGGUGGCCGUCUCCGAAAUACAGUGGCGGUCUCGCCGCAGCCUCUCCUGCGCAGUAGUUUGCACACUCGCAUCGGGAGCGCGGCGCGUCCACAGCCGUUAAACACCCAACUUCUGAAAUGUUGACCUCGGAUCAGGUAGGAAUACCCGCUGAACUUAAGCAUAUCAAUAAGCGGAGGAA